AAUGUUCUGUGUUCUUGCUUUUACUUCUAAUUGAAACAACAGUUAAAAUAAAAAUGACUAAUGUGGGUUACAGAAAUGAUGACUUGCCAAUAGAAGGAGCUGUAACUACUUGUAACUGUACCAGGAAAAAAACAACAACCAAACAACCUAUGUCACCUUGGCUGGAAACAGACUUUGGCAGAGGGAAAGAAGGAUUUGAAAUCAAUAAAAUUGAAAACUUUUUGGGCACAAGAAGGACAGCUUUCAAUCGAUUAUCACAGAGAGGAACCUUAGACAGCACAACAUCAGAAUAAGGUAACUGGCCAACUUCCUUGGUGCUGUGUGGUGUUACAAGAUAAUGAAAUCAUAAAGCUAGAGCUGGAAGGGAACAUGUAGGAUUCUGAUUCCCAAAUGUUUGCUUUAUAGCUGAAGAAACUCAGGCUCAAGGAGAUGAAGUGACUACCUUGACAUUUCAUCCUAAGGUCCUGCAGGACUAAGCAUCUGUGUUCCCUCAAAGCCCUGUAG
rnacentral:lncRNA from 1 species